rnacentral:rRNA from 1 species
AGUGAACGCUGGCGGUAGGCCUAACACAUGCAAGUCGAACGGCAGCACAGUAAGAGCUUGCUCUUACGGGUGGCGAGUGGCGGACGGGUGAGGAAUACAUCGGAAUCUACUUUUUCGUGGGGGAUAACGUAGGGAAACUUACGCUAAUACCGCAUACGACCUACGGGUGAAAGCAGGGGAUCUUCGGACCUUGCGCGAUUGAAUGAGCCGAUGUCGGAUUAGCUAGUUGGCGGGGUAAAGGCCCACCAAGGCGACGAUCCGUAGCUGGUCUGAGAGGAUGAGCAGCCACACUGGAACUGAGACACGGUUCAGACUCCUACGGGAGGCAGCAGUGGGGAAUAUUGGACAAUGGGCGCAAGCCUGAUCCAGCCAUACCGCGUGGGUGAAGAAGGCCUUCGGGUUGUAAAGCCCUUUUGUUGGGAAAGAAAAGCAGCAGGUUAAUACCCCGCUGUUCUGACGGUACCCAAAGAAAAAGCACCGGCUAACUUCGUG